UACGUAGGGGGCAAGCGUUGUCCGGAAUCAUUGGGCGUAAAGAGCGUGUAGGCGGUCCGGUCAGUCGGUUGCGAAAGUCAGGGGCUCAACCCUUGGAAGCCGGCCGAUACUGUCGGACUAGAGUCCGGAAGAGGCGAGUGGAAUUCCCGGUGUAGCGGUGAAAUGCGUAGAUAUCGUAAGGAAGACCAGUGGCGAAGGCGGGUCUCUGGACAGUUCCUGACGCUGAUGCACGAAGGCCAGGGGAGCAAACGGG
rnacentral:rRNA from 1 species